UACGUAGGGCGCAAGCGUUAUCCGGAAUUAUUGGGCGUAAAGAGCUCGUAGGCGGUUUGUCGCGUCUGCCGUGAAAGUCCGGGGCUCAACUCCGGAUCUGCGGUGGGUACGGGCAGACUAGAGUGCAGUAGGGGAGACUGGAAUUCCGUGGUGUAGCGGUGAAAUGCGCAGAUAUCAGGAGGAACACCGAUGGCGAAGGCAGGUCUCGUGGGCUGUAACUGACGCUGAGGAGCGAAAGCAUGGGGAGCGAACAGG
rnacentral:rRNA from 1 species